rnacentral:rRNA from 1 species
GAUGAACGCUAGCUACAGGCUUAACACAUGCAAGUCGAGGGGAAACGGCGAAGGGUGCUUGCACUCUCCGGACGUCGACCGGCGCACGGGUGAGUAACGCGUAUCCAACCUUCCCAUGACCGGGGGAUAACCUGCCGAAAGGCAGACUAAUACCCCAUGGCCUUCACUGACGGCAUCAUAUGUGAAGUAAAGAUUCAUCGGUCAUGGAUGGGGAUGCGUCUGAUUAGCUUGUUGGCGGGGUAACGGCCCACCAAGGCGACGAUCAGUAGGGGUUCUGAGAGGAAGGUCCCCCACAUUGGAACUGAGACACGGUCCAAACUCCUACGGGAGGCAGCAGUGAGGAAUAUUGGUCAAUGGGCGCAAGCCUGAACCAGCCAAGUAGCGUGCAGGAUGACGGCCCUAUGGGUUGUAAACUGCUUUUGUACGGGGAUAAAACGGCGGACGUGUCCGUCCUUGCAGGUACCGUACGAAUAAGGACCGGCUAAUUCCGUGCCAGCAGCCGCGGUAAUACGGAAGGUCCGGGCGUUAUCCGGAUUUAUUGGGUUUAAAGGGAGCGUAGGCCGGGGAUUAAGUGUGUUGUGAAAUGUAGACGCUCAACGUCUGACUUGCAGCGCAUACUGGUUCCCUUGAGUACGCACAACGUUGGCGGAAUUCGUCGUGUAGCGGUGAAAUGCUUAGAUAUGACGAAGAACUCCGAUUGCGAAGGCAGCUGACGGGAGCGCAACUGACGCUUAAGCUCNGAAGGUGCGGGUAUCGAACAGG